rnacentral:rRNA from 1 species
GGGCCCGCACAAGCGGUGGAGUAUGUGGUUUAAUUCGAUGCAACGCGAAGAACCUUACCAGGGUUUGACAUCCUGCGAAUCUCUUGGAAACAGGAGAGUGCCUUCGGGAACGCAGUGACAGGUGGUGCAUGGCUGUCGUCAGCUCGUGUCGUGAGAUGUUGGGUUAAGUCCCGCAACGAGCGCAACCCACGUCUUUAGUUGCCAGCAUUUAGUUGGGCACUCUAGAGAGACUGCCGGUGAUAAACCGGAGAAGGUGUGGAUGACGUCAAGUCAUCAUGCCCCUUACAUCUGGGCUACACACGUACUACAAUGGCAUUUACAGUGGGAAGCAAUACGGCGACGUGGAGCAAAUCCCCAAAAGAUGCCUC